rnacentral:rRNA from 1 species
AUUGAACGCUGGCGGCAGGCCUAACACAUGCAAGUCGAACGGUAACAGGAAACAGCUUGCUGUUUCGCUGACGAGUGGCGGACGGGUGAGUAAUGUCUGGGAAACUGCCUGAUGGAGGGGGAUAACUACUGGAAACGGUAGCUAAUACCGCAUAACGUCGCAAGACCAAAGAGGGGGACCCUCGGGCCUCUUGCCAUCGGAUGUGCCCAGAUGGGAUUAGCUUGUUGGUGGGGUAACGGCUCACCAAGGCGACGAUCCCUAGCUGGUCUGAGAGGAUGACCAGCCACACUGGAACUGAGACACGGUCCAGACUCCUACGGGAGGCAGCAGUGGGGAAUAUUGCACAAUGGGCGCAAGCCUGAUGCAGCCAUGCCGCGUGUAUGAAGAAGGCCUUCGGGUUGUAAAGUACUUUCAGCGGGGAGGAAGGGGGUAAAGUUAAUACCUUGGCUCAUUGACGUUACCCGCAGAAGAAGCACCGGCUAACUCCGUG